rnacentral:tRNA from 1 species
UCUAUUAUGGCAGAUUAGUGCGGUGGAUUUAAGCCCCAUAAAUAAAAUUAUUUUUUAUUAGAA